UACGGAGGGUGCGAGCGUUGUCCGGAAUCACUGGGCGUAAAGGGCGCGUAGGCGGCGCGGGAAGUCAUCGGUGAAAGCUCAGGCUCAACUCUGAGUCGGCCGGUGAUACUCUCGUGCUUGAGCACUGUAGAGGCAGGUGGAAUUCCGGGUGUAGGCGGUGGAAUGCGUAGAGAUCCGGAAGAACACCGGUGGCGAAGGCGGCC
rnacentral:rRNA from 1 species